UCAACCUCACUCGCGACCGCCUCGCUCGAAGCCCCACCGGACGCUGAGCCGACGCCCUUGCAGUAACCCGCGAAGCUGCUUCUGCCUCGACGUGUUUCUGCCGCCCAAUCCACCUGCCUUGCCUCGCCAGCGACUCCUCACCGGACCGGCCACCACGUGCUGCCUUGCUCAGAAGAAAAGGAAAAACAACAGAAAAAGCAAAAUCAAUUAGGUUGUUUUUUUUUAUUUUUUUUCAUUUAUUUUACUUUAUUUUGUUUAUAUUCUUAAGUUAUUUACUUAAUUGGAUCCCAAUGUUCACUUUGUGAGUCUUGUAGGCAUUAUCCGCAAGAGUUAUCCCUAAGCUUAUUGUAAUUAUUAAUUUGAC
rnacentral:lncRNA from 1 species